AAUCAACGCUGGCGGCGUGCCUAACACAUGCAAGUUGAGCGCUUGAGGGGGCAACCCCAAGAGAGCAGCGAACGGGUGAGUAACGCGUGGGUGAUCUUCCUUCGAGUGGGGAACAACAUCGGGAAACUGGUGCUAAUUCCGCAUAACACCCGGGGCUACGAGCCUCAGGAUCAAAGCCGGGGACCGCAAGGCCUGGCGCUUGAAGAUGAGCCCGCGCCCGAUUAGCUAGUUGGCGGGGUAAUGGCCCACCAAGGCUUCGAUCGGUAGCCGGCCUGAGAGGGCGGACGGCCACACUGGAACUGAGACACGGUCCAGACUCCUACGGGAGGCAGCAGUGGGGAAUUUUUCGCAAUGGGCGAAAGCCUGACGAAGCAACGCCGCGUGGAGGAUGAAGGUCUUCGGAUUGUAAACUCCUGUCGACCGGGACGAAUGCACCCGACCUAAUACGUCGGAGUGUUGACGGUACCGGUGGAGGAAGCCACGGCUAACUCUGUGCCAGCAGCCGCAGUAA
rnacentral:rRNA from 1 species